rnacentral:misc_RNA from 1 species
AAGUCGUAACAAGGUUUCCGUAGGUGAACCUGCGGAAGGAUCAUUAACAAAAAAUUUUUUGCCUCCAGCUACUAGUGGUACUAACUACUUCUGGAGCUGGUACAAAAAGCUGUGUCUCUUAAGAUUCAUUUCUUUCGAGAUGCGUAACAAACAAGUAACCUGGGGUACUUUAAGGUGGAGUGCUUUAUUGUGCUUUGUCUUGAAGCCCUUCUAAUAAUCCUAUUUUUUUACCAUUUUACCCUUGAUAAACUAUAAGACUGAUAUGACAUGAUAAAUGUCAAAUACUAAAACUAUAAAACAACUCUUAACAAUGGAUAUCUAGGCUCUG